GAGAAAAUAACAAGGACAUGUGGAGUUCCGCUGGAGAUCACGGCACAGAUUGCUUAUGUGGUAAACCUACAGAACUGCAAUGGUUCAAUGGAGCAAAGCUGGUCUAUGUCUCAAAAACUCAUGUAAGGAAGACAAAGCUGGUGAAGGAAAGCAAACACUUCAGAUGGAUUUAAAUUCAUUUUUGCAACCUUUUUUGCUUUCUCUACCAAAUGCUUUUUGAGUACAUUUCCUGGAUUUUCUUUUUGUUUAGGUUUGUGGCCAAUUUUACUAACGUCUAC